UAGUAGCGUAAAAGCAAAAUAAAUUCAUGCAUACUGUAAUACAGUAAGCCAGAGUAUUUAACUUAAUUUACAAUAACCAGUGGGCCCUCGAAUAACUAAAAGAAAGGAAGACUGUGAACCUACAGUUUGGAGGAUGCAAAUCUAAUGGUAACCUCAAUGAAAUCGGCUAUCUAUAGCCUAUUUUGAGCCUGAAAUGGGUGGAAAUGAGGGUGGUGAGAUUAUAUAAUCCCAGUGAGUAAACAAAUACCAUCUAAAAUAUCUAAAGCCGAGUAAAUUGAGACAUAUAAAAUAGUUUAACAUACUAUAAUUCAUCACCUUUCAACUUGUUUCAACCAAAUAAAAUCAAUUCAUAUAAAUCGAGUAAUCAACAUGGCUUAUGAAUUUCUUAAAACUUUGACUCGUGCCAAAAUCAUACCCAGUUAUUAGGGAUACCCUGAUCGAGGGUUAUCCCAACCGAGUCCGCCAAGGCUGUUAAAAAGUUAUGUACGCAUAAAUCAUGUUUUUAUUUUCAAAACAUAGUCGUUCCUUGGCGUUAGCUGAGUUCACCCUCACGUGGUGGUUUGACGUGAAGUGAACUCUAAAGUUAUACCUCGGGAGUUACCCUACUCGCCUCUCCAAUCGAGGUAAAAUAUAGCAGGAUUCCGUGCCCCUCUAAUAAGCUGAUCCACAGAAAACCCGCCCACUGCAGCAAGUUAAACCCACCAUAUAAUAAAAUUUGCAAUAGCAUGACAUGGUAAUUAUUUUAUUUUAUUUUAUUUUACAGCCUUUCAAGGCAAAUCAACAAUUUAUACAUUUCCAACACAUUUAUCAAAUCAACCAUUCAUGCCAAUAUUGCCAUAAGCCAAUCAAUUAGAAUCAUGAAUUUACAACACACAAAAACAGUCUCCAAUUACUCUAUUUUCAAACCAUCAUUCAAUUUUAAAACAAUUUUAUAAAAUCAUUUUCAUUAAAUCACAUUUUGUUUAUAAAACCAAAAAAUUAAUCAAUUAAUUCAUUUUCCAUAAAAUUCACAAAAUCAAAUAAAAACAUACUUUAGAUAAUUAAGAUGAUGAUAAGGUUACUCACUAUUUCGGGGUCGAAUUCCAAGUACUCCGAUUCUUUAUUCUCGGGUACUAUCUCUUUACUUUUGCCAGAAUUAUCACCAUCUAGACAUAAUGCACAAUAAGCCAUUUACUACAUUGUGCUAAAUUGUUAUAAAACCAAUUCAGGCUUUAUACUAAUGUAUGAAAUGGGAUGCAAAUUGUUCGGAUUAUUGUCUAAACACGGUGUUCUACACAAAUUCAAUUGUGUACCUAAAUUAAACGGUAUUUACCUAAUUCGAUCUAUCACUCGAUUAAUUGGCCAAUACGUCCAAUUCAAUUCCAAAUAAUUUCAUUUUUCUCCCAAUACUCCUAAUCAUCAAACACAAAUUAAAUAACUUGAAAUAUGGCAAAAUCAUCCUCACAUUUUCUCUUGGAAAAUUCGGCCAUGGUGGGUGCAUCAACACUAUAAUUUUUCCUAUUUGAUUAUCAUACCAUAAAUCACUAAUUCCUAACCAAAUCACUUGAAAUAAAAUCAAAAUCAUCCUCAAUAUUCCACAUGGAGAAUUCGACCAAUGAUGGGUGAUGGGAGAACAUGAAUUUUUCUUGCUUGAUUUUCAUGCUACACACCACCAAUCAACUAAAAACACUAAAAUACAUUGAAAUCUAACCAAAUCAAGCAUCAAAACCUCUCUCCUAGGGUUUGAUCAGCACACUAUCCUUCAUGAUAUCUUGUGAUUCAACCAUGAAAAAUGCAAAAUAAUGCAUGGGAAAGGUAGAUCACAAGUCAAAAUCAAUAAAUUUUACAUUUGAUUGCUUAAUUACUUGAAAUUCACCAAUUUUCUCUUGAAUUUUCACCUUAGGGUUCUUGUUCUUCCUUUUUCUUCCUUUGUUCUUGCUUUGGCCGGC
rnacentral:lncRNA from 1 species